rnacentral:rRNA from 1 species
AACGAACGCUGGCGGCAGGCCUAACACAUGCAAGUCGAACGAAGUCUUCGGACUUAGUGGCGCACGGGUGAGUAACACGUGGGAAUAUACCUUUCGGUGGGGAAUAACAUCGGGAAACUGAUGCUAAUACCGCAUACGCCCUUCGGGGGAAAGAUUUAUCGCCGAAAGAUUAGCCCGCGUCCGAUUAGGUAGUUGGUGAGGUAACGGCUCACCAAGCCUGCGAUCGGUAGCUGGUCUGAGAGGAUGAUCGGCCACACUGGGACUGAGACACGGCCCAGACUCCUACGGGAGGCAGCAGUGGGGAAUAUUGGACAAUGGGCGCAAGCCUGAUCCAGCCAUGCCGCGUGAGUGAUGAAGGCCUUAGGGUUGUAAAGCUCUUUCGACGGGGACGAUGAUGACGGUACCCGUAGAAGAAGCCCCGGCUAACUUCGUGCCAGCCGCCGCCGUAAGAC